UGUACCUGAACGUAUGAAAAAUUCUUUUGUAUACGGCGGAUUUGCCGGCGUGCCCGGGAAACGUGCAAUCCGGGGCAUAACAACAGUGACAACAAAUUUCACUAUAUGGAAAAUUGGCCCAAGAUUUGAUACAAAUACCGGCAUCCCAACUUGCCACAGCUACAAAUGCUGACAGAUACACACUCCCACCUAUAAUUAGUACUAUUCUUGGAAGUAUGCAUAUCUUUCAAAUUAUUCUGAGCACACCAACCUUCAAUACAGAAAGUAUGAGUUUCAAAGUAGUUAGAAUUUUAUCUCCUCCUGAAAGAGAAAUGGCAACAACAUCUGAACAGUUUGCUUCUUCAUCCUCUUAUACAAUUUCUUCACAUAAUCAUACUCAACAAGCAAAAAGAAACAGAGAAGAUCAACUAGAGUUAUAUUUAGAACAUACACCAUCAAAGCAAGAAAUGAGCAUCCCGGAUGUGACCUCUCCUUAAUAAUGUUCUCCUAAAUCUCCAGAAGAUACAGUCUCAACACCACCUGCCAAAAAAAUCUUCAA